AUCCCAUGGUGAGGAUAAUCUGAUAUGUAUCCUUGAAAACGCCACCAUGGUUCUGAAAUGGUUUCUAUCUUCUGCUGUUGGAAACUGACAAUAUUUCAUCUUAAGGCA
rfam:Sorghum bicolor cultivar BTx623 chromosome 3, whole genome shotgun sequence.